rnacentral:rRNA from 1 species
UACGUAGGCAGCGAGCGUUGUUCGGAGUUACUGGGCGUAAAGGGUGUGUAGGCGGUUGUUUAAGUUUGGUGUGAAAUCUCCCGGCUCAACUGGGAGGGUGCGCCGAAUACUGAAUGACUUGGAGUGCGGGAGAGGUGAGUGGAAUUCCUGGUGUAGCGGUGAAAUGCGUAGAUAUCAGGAGGAACACCGGUGGCGAAGGCGGGUCUCUGGGCAACUACUGACGCUGAGGAGCGAAAGCGUGGGGAGCGAACAGG